rnacentral:misc_RNA from 1 species
UCUCCGUUGGUGAACCAGCGGAGGGAUCAUUACAGGACUCGCAAGACUCCUACAACCCUGUGAACUUAACUAUAAGCACGUUGCUUCUGCGUGUGUCUCGGAGGGGGUUCUCCCUCCCCGGGACGCUAAUCCCGCCGGCAGCCUACUAUACUCUGUCUCUUUGCGUUGGCAUCUCGAGUACAAUCAAACAGUUAAAACUUUCAACAACGGAUCUCUUGGUUCUG